UCAAAUUGUGACUCAUACUUACUGUUUGGUACUUGACUUCCCUACCUUGUUUCUCUGGGCCAGGAGAGGGGAGUUAAUCCGUGUCAGCCCUUUACGUGGUGCCGAUUACUUUCCUGUGGGUCAGCUCAGCCUUUCUGGCCAGGGUGUGUGACUGUGGGGCUGCUGUGCAGGUGUUCCCUCCCUACUUCUGCCUAUCCAUCCUAUCUACGUGGGAGAGGCCCUGUGGAGGUUGUUUGCGCUGCUGCAAUCUAUCCCAUGAUGCAGAGGAGCAAGAGGAUGCCUGCAGCUCCUUAGUACCUUGCUCAGUUCUCUUCUCCUCUAGAGACAAAGGAAUCAUCCAGCAAAACCAGAGAAGCAAAGAAUUCAUGUUCUCGAUAUUUCUGAGAAACUUAUUCAGAAGCAAACCAGGUCAAGGAAUGAUUUACGAAACUGUAACUGUCAUAUGGUGUUAAUGUGAUAGCUGGUUUCAACUGACAUCUGUGAGAAACAGUUGGACAUACCUCUUCUUCUGCAUGAACUAGAGUUUCUAAUUAAUUAUGCAAAGCUGAAAACAAACAAGAGUAUACUGAAAAAUAAUAGCUAAAAUCUAAGAUAAGGUGCACUCUCACACCUUGUUCUGUUAUUGAUACCCUUUGCAUUGACCACAAUGGUUUCAUUUUGACAAUGGACUUUUACCAGCAAUAACAUAUAUUACUGAUAGCACUAUUACUGAUUCUAAGACUCUGUUAUGUUAUGUUUACAAUCUCUGUAAAGCUAAUACAUUAAUAUGAGCAAAAUCAUGCAACAAGCAACGUGUGACUUUC